rnacentral:lncRNA from 1 species
GGUACUGGCUGGUUUCUCUCCCAGGCCACACGCAGAGUCCCCAGGUCGGAGGUCCAAUCGCCACAGCAGCGGCAGCUCCCAGAGCCCCUCCCUCUCCUCCCAUUACAGCGAUUCCAGAUCACCCAGCAGGCUGAGCCCCAAGCACCGAGAUGACGGGCGGAAGACGGGCAGCCAGCGGUCCAGCGGGAGCCGGUCGCCUUCCCCGUCUGGCGGCAGCGGAUGGGGGUCGCCCCAGCAGAACGGCGGCAACAGACAGCGGAGCGGAGCGCACGGGGGCCGCCCUGGCUCGGCGCACAGCCCGCCAGAUGAGGAAGUGCCACUUUAUUGAAGCCCAGCUCGCCCUCGCCCAGGGCCCGCGACCAGGCGGAGGCCGGCGCAGCCACGCCGCCCGCGCGGGGCAAGGAGAGUCCGAGCCCGCGCUCAGCACCGUCGUCGCAGGGCAGAGGAGG